GACGAACGCUGGCGGCGCGCUUAACACGUGCAAGUCGAACGGAAAGGCCUGCUUUCCCUUGUGGAUUGCGGGUACUCGAGUGGCGAACGGGUGAGUAACACGUGAGUGAUCUGCCCCCAACUUGGGUAUAAGCCUGGGAAACUGGGUCUAAUUCCCGAUAGGACUGCAGGGUGGUGCCUGUGGUGGAAAACGAUUUUCUAGUGGUUGGGGAUGAGCUCGCGGCCUAUCAGCUUGUUGGUGGGGUAAUGGCCUACCAAGGCGGCGACGGGUAGCCGGCCUGAGAGGGUGGACGGCCACAUUGGGACUGAGAUACGGCCCAGACUGCUACGGGAGGCAGCAGUGGGGAAUAUUGCACAAUGGGCGGAAGCCUGAUGCAGCGACGCCGCGUGGGGGAUGACGGCCUUCGGGUUGUAAACUCCUUUCGACCGCGAGGAAGCCACCUGGUUGGAAGGGUGGUGACGGUAGUGGUAGAAGAAGCACCGGCUAACUACGUG
rnacentral:rRNA from 1 species